AUUUUAUGAUGAUGAUUAGGAACAAAAAAAAUUCAUUAAAGAGGAAGAUUGAUUUUCACCACUACAGUGAAUGAAAAUAUAAACAGGGUGGUCAGGCAAUCCCAUGCAGGGUUAUCCAAUUUUCACCAAUUCUCACAGCGUUUACUAUUGCCAGUCAUGAUCCUACCAACUAAACUAUUUGAAUUUGGUCACUAACCCAACCAAGCCAGACAGCCAUAUUUUACCAUCAUCCGCAUCCACCAAGCAAUAUACAAACUCUACAAAAGGUUAUUGCCUAAGGCUGCUAUUGAACUUCCUUCCUACCUGUCAGCUGCUUCCCAAGAAGUUGGGAUGGCCAUGAAUCUGCAGGUGUUGGAUAUCUAGCAUGUGGUUUACUCACAUUUGAGGUAGUCACUGGAUAAGCUUGGAGUUCAGGAUGGAGGGGGACAACAAAGACGGCUUGUGCUUGCUGCAAGGUAGCAUCUGCUGCAGGCAACCUGAGAGACUCUCCUGGAAAAUGUUGUGUCAAUUCGGGAUGGUCAAACUCGGGAGGAGGCACAUUCAGGUCAGGUUUUGAUUGAGACACCCUUGCUUCCAGCUCUCCUUGCAAUCCCUUAAUUUGAGUUUCUAGGGCAGAGUUUUCUUCCUUCAGCUCAUUCUUCUCAAUUGUUACAUAGCGAGAUUCAGAUAAUAGAGAUUCAUUCUCCUUGUUGAGGCCGUCAAUCUGUCCAAUCAAGUCCUUCAACAAUCUAGCAGCUUCAGACAAUAUGGAGGCCUUCCCAUUAUUUGGCUGAGUCAGUUCAAGAGCACUGGCUAGCUCAAGGAAGAGCUCAUUUAAUUGCUCACGCUUCAGUUUUUCCCUCUCAGCCUUGUGAAUUCUUUUGGGAACUUUCCCUUUAUUCUUACCAUGGCAACACCUGCAUCACAGAGAUAUUUAAAUCAAGAAACAAAUCUAAAAUAUUCAUUGUCAUCCAGAUUACAGUUGAUCCAAAUUAGCGCAAGUCCCUUUUUCUCUCCCUUUUUAAGGUUGAGGUUAUUCAAAAAUUCACUUAAAUCUGGUACAGCUCAUGAAAUUCAGGAACUCAUACAUCAUAUGCACAUAUGUUUCAGCCACAACUUAUUGUUACUGAAUAACCAGGUCACAAGAAGCACCAUAAGCAAAUUGGAUUUCGCAGUCAAUGCAUCCAAAACGGCCAACAUUAACAAACAAUAGCUGCAACAUAUCAUAUGUUGAAUUAGGUGAUUAAACAUAACUAGACGAAACCACAAAACAAAUUAUGGAGGGUUGUAGCCCCUACUAGAGACAACUAGUAUUACUGAAUCCAUUGAGGUAGGAUCCCUGGAGAAGGAAUUUGGAAGCAAUCCUACCCUUCAGCGCUUUUUCAUUAAGUGGUUUUUCUCAAGACUUGAAUGCUCACCUUUGUAGCCUAAGAUUUUUACUAAUGCACUAGGCAAUGGCCCGAUGCCUUCUGCUUCCUACUAUGCUAACAAUAUUCAAAACAUAGCCCCUAACAAAUCAUACAAACUGUAACUACACGUCUCAGGUCAUGUUGCUAUUUGUUAUCCAUCAAUUUUAAUUCCAAGCAAUUCCAAGAAUUGAGAUAUACCCCAGCAAAAUGCAAUGUGUUAACCGACUAAAAAAUGCAGCCAAAACAAUCCAAAUUCAAAAAUUAAGAUUCUUUACUCACUGACCUUUUCUCAGUAGUCUCUGCUGCUACAUUCACCUCAUCAGCCGCGGAAGGAGGACACUCAGAACCCAUGCUUAUCCCAAUGAAUUGAAUCUAUCAAAUUAGACACCUGAAAAGCCAAAAAAUAAACACAUCAAUUUCCUUGCCGAAACCCACAAAAUUCAGCUACUAAGAAGCAAAUGAAAAAGGAAGCAAACACGAUUAUGAAUUAGCAUAUGUGCGCUUCACUUUGCACUAGCAGCAAAUUUUGAUAACAAUUCCGCAAAAAAAAAAACGCUUUCACCACUUUCUCAGCAACCAAACAAAUUCUCACAGAUAACCAAAACCGAAUAGCAGAAUCAAACACCAAAAGCCAAGAGAACAACAAAGGAGAAUUCCCAAAUUGGGCAAUAAAAAGUUUUAAGUAGAAAAGAUUACCUUGAAAGGCAAAGUAGGCCAAAGAACUUAAAAGAGAGAAUAAUUAGAUUUAAAGAAGGAGAAAUCUGGGAGAUUUAUGAGGCAAAAUCUAAAGGAUUUUGAGAUUGAAAAUUAGGAUUAAGAUGCGAAAACCUAGUAGUUAAUUUUGUAAGGGGUCGAUGGAGAGUGCGUGUGUGUGGGGG
rnacentral:misc_RNA from 1 species